CCCGUAUCGAGGUUAUGUUCUUUUUUUAUUGAAGUUUUUUUUAUUUUCAAAACCCAUGCAUGGGUCAUUUUUCCACAUUGAGCCUGGCAAACCUCGUGUUCCAUUUUCUCCCUCCUUCCCCCACUCCCUCCCCCAGAUGGCAAAUACUCCAAUAUAUGUUAAGCAUGGCAGAAACACAUGUUAAAUCCAAUAUAUGGGUGCAUAGUUAUACAGUUCUCUUGCUGCACAAGAAAAAUCUGAUCAGAAAGCAAAAAAAAGAAAAAGAAAAUGCAAGCAAACCACGACAAAAAGAGUGAGAGUGCUGUGCUGGGCUCCCCGCUCAGCUCCCACAGUUCUAAGUGCCCACGGCUCUCUGUCACCGAACAAGUGGAAGUGGUUUGAAUCAUCUCAAUAUUGGAGAAUCUCUUCUUGUUGCCGUGUGCGACGACCCCCUGGCCCUGCUCGUUUCCCUCGGCAUCAGUCCGUGCCGGUCUCUCCGGGCCCUCGGGCAUCCUCCGCUGGUCGUUUCUCACAGAACAGCGGUGCUCCAUGACAUCCCUAUGCCACGGUUCAUUCAGCCGCUCCCCAGCUGACGGGCCGCCGCUCAGCUUCGGGCUCCUGGCCACUACAAAGAGGGCGGCCACAGACGUCGGUGCGCGCGCGCGCACAGGCCCCUCGCCCUCUAGCAUCUCCAUGAGCCCGGCAGCAGCGCUGCCGCAGGGGGCGCACAGCUGGACGACUUCGGGCCCAGCUCCAUCUCCCCCCGGAAGGGCUGGAUGCGCCCCCGCAGCCCCUGCAGCAUCACUUUCCCCGCCAUCCCCGCCAGUCGGAGCGGGCUCACUCUGCACUUCUCUCAUCCCCGGUGACUCGGAGCCCUUUUCAUAGGCUUCCCCCGAAAACCUCGCCCGCACCUUCUGGCCGCUCACUGGUGCGAGACCGGCUCGCUCUCUCGGCAACGGGGCCUUUGUCCUCCCCCGCCUUGGCUGGAAGGGGAGCUCCCUGAGGGCGGGCCCGUUGCCUGGGACGUCCGGGAGCAGGGCCCGCUCCGGGAGACAGAGCAGGCAAGGGGGAAGGGCCUGGGGAGCGACCUGAGUCCCGCGGCUUGCUUCCACUUCGGCCCGACCCCGGGCCUCCGCCGCCCCCCCCCCCCGUGAGUAGCCGGCCCUACGGGGAUCCGCCCCUGCCUCAGUUUCCCCAUUUGUGAAAGGAGGGGGGCGGGGCCGCUAGGGGGCGCAGUGGAGAGCGCGCUGGGGAAGUCAGGAGGACCCGAGGUCAAAUCCGGCCUCAGACACACUUCCUGGCUGUGGGACCCUGGGCAAGUCACUUAACCCCAUUACUUCAGCAAAAAAGAAAGGAGGGGACCGGCCCGCGUCCUCUGAACUAUCCCGCUUUCUCCCUGGGUCUCAGUCUCCCCUUGCACGAGCGCUCCGAGGGCCACCACAGCAAUGCCCCACUCCCACCCGUGCCCGGAUCCGGACGAGAGCAGCGCCCCCCGUCGGGCGCUCCGAGCCGCACACACACUCACACAGAUACCCCAACG
rnacentral:lncRNA from 1 species